AGAGUUUGAUUCUGGCUCAGGAUGAACGCUAGCGGCAGGCCUAAUACAUGCAAGUCGAGGGGCAGCAGGGGUAGCAAUACUCGCUGGCGACCGGCGCACGGGUGCGUAACACGUAUGCAACUUUCCUUCAAAUGGAAGAUAGCCCGAAGAAAUUCGGAUUAAUAUUCCAUAGUUAUAUGAAAUGGCAUCAUUUUAUAUUUAAAGCUCAGGCGGUUGAAGAUGGGCAUGCGUUCGAUUAGCUAGUUGGUGAGGUAAUGGCUCACCAAGGCUACGAUCGAUAGGGGAUCUGAGAGGAUUAACCCCCACACUGGUACUGAGACACGGACCAGACUCCUACGGGAGGCAGCAGUAAGGAAUAUUGGACAAUGGAGGCAACUCUGAUCCAGCCAUGCCGCGUGAAGGAUGAAGGUCCUAUGGAUUGUAAACUUCUUUUGAACGGGAGAAAACCUUCGGUCGUGUACCGAAGCUGAUAGUACCGUUAGAAUAAGGGUCGGCUAACUUCGUGCCAGCAGCCGCGGUAAUACGAAGGACCCGAGCGUUAUCCGGAUUUAUUGGGUUUAAAGGGUGCGUAGGCGGAAUGGUAAGUCAGUGGUGAAAUCUUGUGGCUUAACUGCAAAACUGUUACUGACGCUGAGGCACGAAAGCGUGGGGAUCAAACAGGAUUAGAUACCCUGGUAGUCCACGCCUUAAACUAUGAUUACUCGAUGUGUGCGAUACACAGUACGCGUCUAAGCGAAAGCGUUAAGUAAUCCACCUGGGGAGUACGGUCGCAAGAUUGAAACUCAAAGAAAUUGACGGGGGCCCGCACAAGCGGAGGAGCAUGUGGUUUAAUUCGAUGAUACGCGAGGAACCUUACCUGGGCUUGAAAGUUAGUGAAUGCUGUGGAAACAUGGCAGGCCGCAAGGACACGAAACUAGGUGCUGCAUGACUGUCGUCAGCUCGUGCCGUGAGGUGUUGGGUUAAGUCCCGCAACGAGCGCAACCCCUAUCUUUAGUUGCCAGCGAGUAAUGUCGGGGACUCUAAAGAAACUGCCCGUGCAAACGGUGAGGAAGGUGGGGAUGACGUCAAGUCAGCUCGGCCCUUACGUCCAGGGCUACACACGUGCUACAAUGGCGAGUACAAAGGGCAGCUACAUGGUGACAUGAUGCUAAUCUCUAAAACUCGUCUCAGUUCGGAUUGAAGUCUGCAAUUCGACUUCAUGAAGCUGGAUUCGCUAGUAAUCGAAUAUCAGCAAUGAUUCGGUGAAUACGUUCCCGGGCCUUGUACACACCGCCCGUCAAACAAUGGAAGCUGAGGGUACUUAAAGUCGAUAACCGCAAGGAGUCGCCUAGGGUAAAAUCGGUAAUUGGUGUUAAGUCGUAACAAGGUA
rnacentral:rRNA from 1 species